UAACACUUUGAUUAUUGAUAUUAACGAAAAUUAAUGCAACAAAUUAAAACUUCACUACGAGCUUCGAAAGACAUACACAGAAGGUUACACGCCAAAAACACUCGUCACCGUCGCCAACAGUUACAAAAACGAACACCAAGCAAGAAUCUCUCUCUACCAGAAAACAUGGACAGCCCGGGCUACCAGCACAUGCAGGACGUAGGCAACGGACAAGGAAUGGGACGGAAAACAUGCAUGCGUGUGCAGUGGUAGGUCACACUGAUCGGUGUGUGCCUCAGUUUUUAUCGGCGACGCGUUGGAAGGAGACCACCUUCCAGGUCCAGUCCCUGGACCCGGGCACGCCCCACACCACCGUCUGGUACCUGCCGACGGCCCCGUUCGUCCGGUCCGCCGCCCGCAGCAGGAGGCUGUAGUUGUUGCCGGCGCCGGCGGCCUGCACGCUCCCGGAGACCACAUGCACGAGGUCGAGGUACUCCCUGAACACCAGCGCCCGUAUCAGCAGCGAGAAGUUGGCAACCUGCCGGAAGAAGAAGUCCUCCGCGUUGGGGAUGGGCACCCACGGCGCCGAGGCCGGGGGUACGCUGGCCACGGCUGCCGCGGAGGCUGUUACCGGCGCCGUGCUGACAAUGGCCAUUGAGAGCACGAGGAGGAUGGGCACAAGCACUGCUUCGAGAGACCUCAUGGCUAGCGACCUGUAUGUGAGAGAGCAAUGCUAGGUAUAGAUGGAGGUGAAAGAUCGAUGAUCUUCUCAGCUGUUUUCAAAGGAUCACUAGUGUGCUUGUUGAGGCGCGU
rnacentral:lncRNA from 1 species